UUUGUAGAUAUUCAUUGCAAGUUGAAUCCAAAUUUCUCCAAGUUCCUGCCUGAAGAUUUGUUGAUUAUUAUGACAGAUGAACCCUUUUUCGAAGAAGGUAUGUGCUUUUCCUGUUUAUGUUGUAUAUCUUAACAGCUUUGCCAUUUAAACAAUUGAGUACAAGCGCUCUCCCUUGACCAGUAAAAUUGUCUGGCAUUAUAGACAGAGUAAAAUAAUAAAGUAUUGAGUGCAUUAGGGUGCAAUGCAGCUUAAUGGGUUAACUAGACACAAUUGAGCAGAUAACCUGAUUAAUCAGCCCAUUGAGUGCCAACUGGUGCUUUCCACUUGAUGAGUAAAAUUCCCCGGCAUAACUUAAAAUUAAAGACAGAGUAAAAUUGUACAUCUAACAUUGUCUAAUAAUAUGAAAGAAAUUUUAUGUAUUUACAGAGAGAGCAAAUCUCUUUCUUUCGAAAGAAAAUUGCUAAGUACUCGAUUGAUAGCUAAUAGAUGUAAUAACCUGUGAAUAGAUCAUUAUACCAUGCAGUUAAUUACAUUAUACUGUAUAUAAUAACAUAUUUCUUUCAUAAUUUUGUAAAUACUAUAGCUUCUAAAAUUCUUUACAUAUUGUAUCAAGCUUUCUAUGACUUUUGUGCAUGCCUCUUGUGGAAAUCAGCUUUGGUUGACAGUGAGGGUCAGCAGGUUUAAAAAACAUUUUCUAUAGAUCUGUCUAAAAAACAGUAAAAUAAAUUAUAAAUGAGGAUGCCAUUCAGCUUAUUGAGUUAACACAUAUGCAAAGCUGCAAUGUGGCAUGUGCCUGGCUGUAUUAUUUCACUCUCCCGGGUUUAAAUUAUUUCACAUCCUCAAAAAUCAAUUUUGGAAUUUUUAGAUAUAUGUUGCAAGUUCCAAGAAUGCUUGUUGGCUGAACUUCAAAAAAAUGAACACUGUCAUUGGAAAGUAUAUUAACAGGUCUUGAUAUUUUUUGUAUCUCAUGCUUUGAAAACUAUGUAUAUGAUUGCUGUGAUCAUUGGCUGAGUUUACUAUUGAGUUUUUAAAAAAGCUAGGUGGCAAAAUACUGCAUGAUUGUAAAUCCACAAUAUUUAUUUUAAAAACACACAACCCUUUCAGCAGAUGUAGAUUUGGAAAUUGCAGUUUCAUGCUAAGCGUCUUUUAAGCCACCAACCAUAGACAGUUGCUAGUUUUCAAAGCAUUCUAAUUUCAGAUCAAGCCAAGGAAUGACAAACUGUGUGUUUUGAAAAGUGUACAUGCAUGUUUUCAGUUUUGAUAUAUGUUUUUCAUGUUUGGCAUAAAUGCUUAUUUGGGUUUUCAAGUUUCAAAAGAUUUUGCAUGUUGGAUAUCGUAAUUUGUGGAAAAAAAUAGAACAUUUUCAGUUUGUCAUUAUUUGGCUUUGUAACAUCAAUUGAACAGUGAGAAGAUUGAGAUGGUUCUAUAAGAAACAUUCCCUUACAGAUAAAACAUGUCUGUUCAAAUCACCAUUGAAUUCAAUAUUCUGUGUUUUUAGUCAUUUGAAGCAUGUUCCCAUUGAAACAUGAAAAUGAACAAUGAACUUGAACUUGUUUAUCAAAAUGCAUUGUGAAUAAAAGUUAAUUUUGGUUUCUGAAGUACAGUACCAUCUUAAUCUUCUUUUGUUUUAAUUAAGCAGACUUCAAGUGUUUGUUUGACAGUUAAUUAAGAAAGUUUGUUUGAAAUCACAUUUAGGUUCUAGAUGUUAUUAGAGCCUUCAAAUAUUAAAUCUUGGAACAAGCAAUUUGGAUCAAUUGCAGUAUGCAACACCUUUUAAAUUAAUUAGCACUGUUAGAACUGCCUUGUUGUUUAAUAGUCUUGUCUUAUUUACCCC